AGUUGUUGGAAUGAUUUGUCUGGUUAAUUCCGUUAACGAACGAGACCCCUGCCUGCUAAAUAGUUGGGCGAAUGAUUUUCAUUGGUUACAGCUUCUUAGAGAGACGUGCAUUUCAUAAGAUGCAGGAGGACAGGGGCAAUGGCAGG
rnacentral:rRNA from 1 species